GGUCCUUUCUCUGCGGUGCUCACCGUUCAUUCCUCCAUGCACACCUUCUUUCCUCCGAUGGUUCAUUACGUUCCUUCAUGUUCGAAUCCCUCUCGGCUCCGCUCAUCCUGGGCUCUCUCAGGGUCAGUAAGGCCUGGUAGAUCAUUCUCACCCUUCUGGACAAUCACCAAGUUGAUAACAGACAGGCCUUGGCUGACAAUGCAACCACGGACGGACUUUCUCCUGCGCUCACCAUUACGCCUGCAAAAACCACGGAGGCAAGGUGUGCCCCUCUGAAGCAGAAGGCGGACACGCCCAGAAGUGAGCACUCCUGGCUUCAUCGGGAAACCCUGCUUAUCAAAGCCACCCAGGAUCUUGAAGAUAUAACCCUUGAUUUCCUCACCCGGAAGAUCACCAACUACCUCCAGGAAAGAGUGUGACAAGGAGGAAGGAAAGUUACCAAGGAGGAAACAAGGGUAACAAGGAAGAAAGAAGGGGAGCAAGAAGGAAAGAAGGUGACCAAGGGUGAAGAAAGGUGACCAAGGAGGAAAGAAAUUCCGCAAGGAGCAAAGGAGGUGAGCCAAGAGGCAAAUGGGUGAUUAACGAAAGAACACGCCGGACACAUCAGUAAGAGGUGAUGCAAAGCUCGAGUAUCGCGUCCCGAGUACUAAGAAUGGACUCCUGCGAGUAGCACGGGUAUGACAGACAGCGUGACAUCCACUUCGGAAACAAAAAGCGUAGAAAAUUGCGAGAUUUGAACGCUUGUGAAUUGGCGAAUGCCCCGUCCGCUGACGCGUAAUAAGUACCGAUUGCUUUAUAUUCCGCCAUCCCCGUGCCGUCUCGACAGCAGGGGUAAUGGUACUGACUACAGGCCCGGAGGGGCAUUGCCCUGCGCGUGGCGGGCCCGGGGCAGUGGCAAUAUCCCGGUCGGUAAUUUUAACUUCCCUUUUUGAGGGAGUGCAAUUCAAAUUCUAGGGGAUUCGAUUUUUUUUUUUUUGGUAUAGGUAAAAAACUGGGGGGGUUUCCUACCUUUAUCCCCCCUUGAUUCCCUUUCCCCCGUUUUGGGCGGCCAGGGGGUAAAGAAUGCGAAAAAGGCCUGGUCUCUUUUUUCACAUUUUCCCACCGGGUUUGGGAUGGCCCUAGUUUUUAUGGGGGGUUUUUAUUGGUGUUUGACCCGAUAAAAACAAUGAGGGUGCUGAUGUCUUUUUUUUUUUUUCUGUUUUUGAAUAACCAAAGGGAGGGCUUUUUUGUGGCGCGGGUCGCGAGGUGGAGAUGAAGGGAGGGGGGGAAUUCUCCCCCGGCGGGCCGCGGGGUACCUUAUUUUUUGGUCCUUGUUGUUGCGAAUGAAAAAAGGUUUUCUCCACCUGUGAUGAAGAAGAUUUUUUUUUUUUCUAUUGGGGCGGGUGGGGGUGUU
rnacentral:lncRNA from 1 species